rnacentral:rRNA from 1 species
UACGGAGGGAGCUAGCGUUGUUCGGAAUUACUGGGCGUAAAGCGCACGUAGGCGGCUUUGUAAGUUAGAGGUGAAAGCCCGGAGCUCAACUCCAGAAUUGCCUUUAAGACUGCAUCGCUUGAAUCCAGGAGAGGUGAGUGGAAUUCCGAGUGUAGAGGUGAAAUUCGUAGAUAUUCGGAAGAACACCAGUGGCGAAGGCGGCUCACUGGACUGGUAUUGACGCUGAGGUGCGAAAGCGUGGGGAGCAAACAGGAUUAGAAACCCCCGUAGUCC